AGAAACAUCAAAUUGGUAACGUAAUAUACACAACAGGGUGUGUUAUUACAGCGGUCAUAAAUAGUCUGGAGUCCAAUCUUUACUGGGCAGCAGGAAUAAUUUUCGGAAUAACCUUGUUUCAGAUGUAUGUAACCCAUCAAGCUCGAUCUCUCAUGGACCAGAUAGCACUACAGAGAGCUCGAUGGUACAGUGGUUCCUCGGCGUACGAAUGAUUCGUUAUUUGUAUUUUCACUAUAUGAAGUAAAAUUUUCAUAUAAUGUUUCCUAAAUGGUGUACAGCUGGCUUGGAAUUAGGGAGGAGAGAAAGUAUCCCCUUGAGGAAAUUGAAAAGGUUGCGGUAGGCAAAGGUUAAUGAUAAAAUCAGUUUUACUCACAUUUUGCAAGGGUAAUCAAAGGAAUCAAUAGUGUCUGUGUCCCACUGUGUGUGUGUGUGUGUCUGCUAGAGAGAGAGAGAGAGAGAUCAGCGUCUGGAAGAUGUGAACAGAAUCCCUCACGAGAGCAUUUUAACAUAUUGUAGACAAAUGACAGAAUUUAAAAUUGUAAUCCAAUAAACAUGAGGAUUUUGCAAGCAAAUAGGUAAUAAUUAAAAAAUGUAAGUAAGAAAAGGAAAAUCAAAUAACUUUUUGCAAGGAAGUUGUUAAAGCAAACAAUCCAAGGCAUGCAGAAGGUGAACGUUGCCCUGUGUGUUUCAUGAUGAGGGGAUGAGUUACUUUUACAGUGCUAAAAAAUUGUAAAAAGCAAUUGUCAAUAAUUGAUAGGUAUUUACUGUAACAAAAAGAAGUGAUUCUGGUGAAUGAGUGCAAGUGAAAGAAAUAGGCAAAAUGUUGUGAAAGAGAAAAAUCA